ACCUAUAAGAGGUCCAGCCUGCCCAGUGACUCUGUUCAACGGCCGCGGUAUCCUAACCGUGCGAAGGUAGCGUAAUCACUUGUUCUUUAAAUGAGGACUAGUAUGAAUGGCACCACGAAGGUUAUACUGUCUCCUCUAUCUAAUCAGUGAAACUAAUCUCCCCGUGAAGAAGCGGGGAUAAUUAUAUAAGACGAGAAGACCCUACGGAGCUUUAAACUAAGAAUCAUCUGCUUUACCCCCCCCCUUCAAAUUUCAGAAGACUAACUUUUACCAAAGCACUUUGAUCUCUAGUCUUAGGUUGGGGUGACCACGGAGUAAAAACCAACCUCCGCAAUGAACCGGAAUCUUUCCUUAACCAAGGGCCACGGCCCUAAGAAUCAACACAUUGACAUCAAUUGACCCAAAAAUUUGAUCAAUGAAC
rnacentral:rRNA from 1 species